AAAAAAAAAGGGUAUUCAAAAAGGACUAAAAAUGUUAGUAGCAUUAAAAAAAAUUAAUAAAUUAGAGAACAAAUAACAACUGAGAUUUCUAAAAGCACUGUUAAAAGCAUAUUUGCCAUUCAAAUUUACAAGUUGCAGACCAAUCCAAAACUAACUUUUUAAUGCUUUUUUGGUUGCUUAUACCAAAUCAAUACAUCACCAUGAUCAAGA
rnacentral:misc_RNA from 1 species